CGAUUAUUCAAAAUGAUUGAUUAUUUGGGUUUUCUCCAGUUGGAAAAAUAAACCCUUUGUUACAUUCAAUUUCUAAUGGAAUGGAUAAUGGGGCCUUAACUUAUUUGUGUAAUUUGAAUAUAGAAGAUCUCGUCUCGAAAACUGCUACAUUCAGUACUUUGCUUAAUUUUGUGGCUCAUUAAAUAAAGUUCUGGCUUUGUUUGAAUUGAGGAUAGUUGAUCAUCUUGAAACAUCUCUUUUUAAAGUUUACUUACCGAGUUAAUG
rnacentral:misc_RNA from 1 species